CCCUCGCGGCAGGGGCCGGAUAGUCCGGAUAGUGCCGCCGAGGUGAGCCGGGGGUGCCUCGUCCGAAAAAGCCCCGGCAGGG
rnacentral:ncRNA from 1 species